rnacentral:misc_RNA from 1 species
UACGGAGGGUGCAAGCAUUAAUCGGAGUUAUUGGGCGUAAAGAGUGCGUAGGCUGAAGCGUAAGUCAGAUGUGAAAGCCCGGGGCUUAACCCCGGAAUUGCAUUUGAAACUGCGUUUCUAGAGGGUAGGCGGAGAAAACGGAAUUCCACGUGUAGCGGUGAAAUGCGUAGAUAUGUGGAGGAACACCGGUGGCGAAGGCGGUUUUCUAGCUUAUACCUGACGCUGAGGCACGAAAGCGAGGGGAGCAAACAGG